rnacentral:lncRNA from 1 species
UCCAGCAGUUGAAGAUUCACCCAAGAAUUGGAUCACCUUUUGUGCUAAUUCUUUUUGGUCGUUCUUUGUAUUUGCUAUCCUUGAAUCACCCGUUGUUGUAUUAAAUUUUGGGAUGUAAGUUGUAGCAUUAUGAUUUAAUAAGCUGUUUGAGUUUGCCGCAGAUGGAGUUUUUGCAUUCCAGAGUACAAUUGCAGCUUUUCCU